GGUGAACACUGGCGGCGUGCUUAAGACAUGCAAGUCGAACGGCAGUCUUCGGACUGUAGUGGCGCACGGGUGAGUAACGCGUAACUGACCUACCCCAAAGUCGCGGAUAACGAUUCGAAAGAAUCGCUAAUACGUGAUGUGCUGUCAGAUCCUGUUCUGCCAGUAAAGAUUGAUUGCUUUGGGAUGGGGUUGCGUUCCAUCAGCUGGUUGGUGGGGUAAAGGCCCACCAAGGCGACGACGGAUAGCCGGCCUGAGAGGGUGGCCGGCCACAGGGGCACUGAGACACGGGUCCCACUCCUACGGGAGGCAGCAGUUAGGAAUCUUCCACAAUGGGCGAAAGCCUGAUGGAGCGACGCCGCGUGAGGGAUGAAGGUCUUCGGAUCGUAAACCUCUGAGUCAGGGACGAAAGACACUUCGGUGGGAUGACGGUACCUGAGUAAUAGCACCGGCUAACUCCGUCCCAGCCGCCGCAGUAA
rnacentral:rRNA from 1 species